UACGGAGGGGGCGAGCGUUAUUCGGAAUUAUUGGGCGUAAAGGGCGCGUAGGCGGCUUUCUAAGUCAAAGGUGAAAUCCCUCGGCCCAACCGGGGAACUGCACCUGAAACUGUUCGGCUUGAGUCCGGGAGAGGGUAGUGGAAUUCCCAGUGUAGCGGUGAAAUGCGUAGAUAUUGGGAGGAACACCGGUGGCGAAGGCGGCUACCUGGACCGGUACUGACGCUGAGGCGCGAAAGCCAGGGGAGCAAACAGG
rnacentral:rRNA from 1 species